rnacentral:ncRNA from 2 species
CGCCUAUCCAGAGAGGCGCUAAGGGAACUGGCCCGCUAGAAGCGCCCCCCAACCAUCCCGAAAGGGAAACGGUGGGACCUCCAGCCCCGUCAGGGGGAAGAUAGCCA